AAACUAGAAAUUUCAAGAGUAUAUUUGGCUUAACCGGAUUGGUCAUCCUGGUUUAAUGAUGAUGCGAAAGUAUUGAGAAUUAUGUGGACAUUAGGUGAAAAACCAGAAGAUUCUCCCUAAUGAUUUAUCAAUUGUUACUUGCUCAGAAAGCAAUAUGAUAAAGUGAUUUUUAACGAGUCAAAAUAAUUUGGACUUUAUCUAUUCGUUGGUAUAUACAAGGAGAUGAUUAUGGGUUGAUCACCCACUGUAUGACAUUUAGAUACCUAAUGGCUAUAAAAGAUGCAUCGAUUCAAUGGACGCAUUGACUCGAUUGUUGCAUCGACUAGAAGGUCAUAUUUAUCCUUGUUAUAAACCCGCAACAUAGAGUUUGCGAGGUUACUUUCUUGAUUAAAGUACAAGAGUAUUUCAGUGUUUAUUUAUUAUAACCAUUAUUGGAUAUCCGUUGGGAUAAGUGUUCAUACACAAAAUGGUUUAGUAAUAUCGAUACGCAUCAAGCCAAUGAAUAAUUAAUAGUUUUCCCCAUCAUUAUUGGUUUUGGGUCAGAAACCAAAUAGUUUUCAUCUAAAAUCUUUGAAUGUAAAAAGUGAUCCACCACAGCACGCUGAGAUGAACCCUCAAAAGAGGAUAAGUAUACAUGUUGGAUACGAAUGAUAACUAAGCCAUCCUAGAAGGAUUUAUAUACCGCUCAUUUUGAAGACUAUCAUAUUAUAUAAUCAGCUAUUCCAACAUAAGGGGGAGAAUGUAUACAGCUGGUGAAAAAAAAGAUAAAAAGAAAUGAAUUAUCAAUGAUCCUCGGAGUAAAGAAUGUAUAUUAAGAGUCUAAAAGAUAAUUUAAUUAUAGAAUUUAGCGUUGUAAUUGCCAGACGCAUUUGCUGACCCAAAUAAAGUGAUGAAGUCACUUAUACCAGUUGUAAAUUAAAUGCUCCAGAAUAUAAUGAAUGUCCUGUAAGGACCAAUUUCAAACUGCUAUUGAGUCUUAAGAUCGCAUGAAGCGUAAUAGACCUUGGUUCCAAAUAUAAAUAUCCUCGUAAAAGUGAAGGAGCACAAAAUUAAAAAUGACCAAAUUGAGGAAAUAAAUAUUUUGAUGAUCUCUUGAAGAGAGUGAAUGAUCCCUAAAAGAGACAUAAACAUGACAAAUGAAACAUUCAAGUACUUGACAAUGAAGAGAUCUAGCUAGCUAUGUCAUGUCAAAAUAUAAUGGAAUCAAAAGCAAAUCGACGUCGUAAUAUAUUUGCAUGCUAUGAGCAGUUGAAAUUAUAGACAAAAAGGAGGAUCAUGAAAGAAAGUCUAUUGAAAAGUGUACACAAAGUAAUGAUUAGCCAAAAAUGGAAAAGAAGAAAUAGACAUAUAAUUAUAAUCUCUAGUAGAGAUAUUUAGACUAGUAGUCUAUGCACAUGAUGUGUAAAACCAGUGGAAAAUAAAUGAGUCUUUAUGUGAAAGAAUAGUGAAAUUAAUGAUAAGAAAUGUAUUAUGAAGAGAUAUAUUCUCUUGUGGUGGAUGUAAUAUUUUUUUUUUAAGUAUCUAAAGUCUGGCAAUAAGAGACGGAACACUGGAUAUGACAUUUAUAUGAAAUUCUUGAAAGAUAUAAUCUCUGAAGGAUUAAUUAUAUGAGAAUUAUGUUCUCUAGAACUCUACUCGAUCGAAUAAAAAAAAAAAAUAUAUGUAACAUGACAUAUAAUCAUAUAAAUGUAUAUUUAUGUUGAGUUUGCAAAAUAUAUUGAUCAAACUAAUAUUUGUUUUGAAAAUCAUUAAAACUCCUAGAGAGUUAUCAUAAGUAAUACGAUGACAAUAAUCUAUGAUAAAAUAUCACUAGAUAAUGAUAUUUAUAAGUCUAUAUGAAAACCAUAUAAUUUUGAUCAUUAAGAUUAUGGUUAUUAAUUCCAACGAGAUAUUGUAUUUGAUUGAAAAUCAUCUCCUGAAGAAGAUGUUUCCGAGGGGGAGAUUGAAUGAUAUGCGUGGAUGUACCCUUUUUCCUUAUCAUAGUUUUUAUCCCACAUGAUUUUUCUAUGACAAGGUUUUUAACGAGACAUUAAAGAACACGCAAAUAAUACACUUGAUGAAUGUUAGGAAAUUCUAUCAAUCAUCCAAAUGAAUAUUAUACACUAAUGAUAUUUAGAGAAAUAAAUAAGAUGGUCAAGAUAAAUCAUCUAAAAGAUUCAUGAGCAGCAGAAAAAUGGCGUUGUACUUUAUCCAGAAAUUUGUUCAAGAGAAGAAUUGGCAGACUUAUUCUCAAAUACUGUUUAUUCUCUGCCACAUCUUCUAAUCAUGCAGAGAUUUUACCAAUUCAUGAAGCUAGCCGCGAGUGUGUAUGGCUAAGAUCCAUAGUUCACCAUAUACAAGAAGACUGUGGUAUGUAUGCAGGGAAAAAGACUCCAACAAAUAUGUACGAAGACAAUGCAGCAUGCAUAACUCAAAGACGGAUACAUCAAAGGCGAUAGAACAAAGCACAUCCUACCAAAAUUCUUCUUUACCCACGAUCUACAAAAGAGCGUCGAUGUACAAGUUUUACAGAUCCGUUCGAAUGAUAAUCUGGCUGACUUAUUCACCAAGGCGCUACCUAUUGCUACUUAUUCAUCGUAUCGGAUUACGCCGUCUCAAAGAUCUCGACGAAUAUACUCAUAAGGGGGAGUAAUUGUGUGUUGCACUCUUUUUCCCUUAACCAUGGUUUUUCCUAUUGGGUUUUCCUGGUAAGGUUCUUAAUGAGGCAGCAUUUCAAAUACUUUACGAGUUAUGAUACUAUAAUGGUCAUCAGGGGGAGUGUUAUGAAUAAAGAUGGAUGCCCAUUAUAAGGCCCAUCAUCUAAGCCCAUAAUCUACAUGUUUUUAGGGUUUUACCAUUUCCUUAUACUCCUAUAUAAAGAACCCUUUAUCUCAAUGGAAUAACACACUCAUUUCCUCUAUCUCUUUCUCUGUUUAUAACAAAAUUUACUAUUUUUUAAAUUAUGUUUUAAAAUGUGAUUACUUUCCAAACUCACUCUUUUGUUAAUUA
rnacentral:sRNA from 1 species